CGGAGCGCCGGGUUCGCUCCGGAUUUGCUCCGGCUGCUCCGGAGGAGGCGCGUCCGGCUCCAUCCUUGGGCUCCGCCGCCCUCUGCUGGUCGCUGGGAACCGUGUCCAUCCCGACAUCGACGUCACGGUGCUGUUGACGUCAUACAUGGAGCUCAGAAGCGUGUAUGAUGGCGACAUUCGGCUGGGAUGAACAACUGGGCCGUAUUUUCCACUUGCAGUCAUGCGACUGCAUGAGGUGGCCCUUCCUCACGUACACCUCAUAGUUUUGUCAUGGUGCAAAAUUACACGUUAGCUGGUGCGGGAGCCUAUGGAUACCGAAGGCUGGACCUCUUCCUUCCAUCUGUGCAGAUUCCCAGCUUCUGCAGACAGCAAUGAAAAUUCUGGUCACGAUUUAGAUUUCAGUUUCUUAAGACACCUGCACUUGACUACUUGGACACAACAGGACCAAAAGCACUGAAGUUACGGCCCGUAACUGCUCCUUCAGUCUAAACCCAUUUUACCC